CAGUCGUACCUGCGGGUAAUCAGCCUUUUGGGCAUGAUUCUGUGGAGCGUGAGGAGUUAAACGCCUUCACGCCUGCAUAUUCGUGUACUUGGGUGUACUUGCCUGUGUGGUUAGUUAACAUCAAUUUUGGUUAUCAUAAAAUGGUUGGAGGAAUGUAGCUUCGAUUUCGAUUGAAGUGUUAUAGCCUUUGGCAGAUGUGAUGAUCGGGAUUGAGGAUUGCAACGGAUACCCUUCGGGGCUACCUGUCUGGUCUCUGAUCGUUGCUCUGGUGCCGAAAGCGUGCUUACGGUUAUCAAAGUCGAUGGUCAAUAGGUUAGAACGGGUUAAA
rnacentral:rRNA from 1 species